UCUGCUAAGUCGCAAGACGAUGUAUAGGAGCUGACGCCUGCCCGGUGCUGGAAGGUUAAGGGGAUCUGUUAGAGCAAUCGAAGCAGUGAACUUAAGCCCCAGUAAACGGCGGCCGUAACUAUAACGGUCCUAAGGUAGCGAAAUUCCUUGUCGGGUAAGUUCCGACCCGCACGAAAGGCGUAACGAUUUGGGCACUGUCUCAACAACAGACUCGGUGAAAUUGUAAUUCCGGUGAAGAUGCCGGAUACCUGCGACAGGACGGAAAGACCCCAUGGAGCUUUACUGUAGCUUGACAUUGGGUCUUGGUACUACAUGUACAGGAUAGGUGGGAGGCUUUGAAACCAGGACGCCAGUUUUGGCGGAGCCAUCCUUGGGAUACCACCCUUGUAGUACUGGGACUCUAACCAUAGACCAUGAAUCUGGUCUUGGGACACUGUCAGGUGGGCAGUUUGACUGGGGCGGUCGCCUCCCAAAAGGUAACGGAGGCGCUCAAAGGUUCUC
rnacentral:rRNA from 1 species